GACCCGCUCUCCAAUUGGUCCAGACAUAAGUACAUACACAAUUCCUUACAGUUGCUUCCUAGAACCAAUGACACGCCAACCUGGAAGCUAAUUCUAUCCAAAAUUGAGCUCCUCAUUCAGACAAUCAAGGUUUCCUUGGGCCUCUUUUGGAAAGACAAUUGGGCACAGGAAAGAUUAGAACAAACUUACCCAACCCUCUUCUCCUUUGCCCUGGAAAAGGACUGCACAGUAGCCUCGCAAUUCCAGCACAAUACUUGGGAUCUACAAUUGCACCCCAACUUGUCUUCUCAAGCAGCUACAGAACUACAACUCCAACCCAAUCCGGAUGCUGUCGACACAAGGCAGUUCCUGCACCCAGCGCCAAAAAUCUCAACAGCAAAUGCAUACCACAUUUUGACGAAUCAUGGGCUACUUUGGAAACCGGCUGAAUUCAUCUGGAUCUCAGCUAUCCCUCAAAACUGUCAAACAAUUACAGCAUUCCUAGAGGAUAUAAUCAAGAACAACAUGGCACUACGAGGCAUUGAACCAAUCUGGUUCGCGGCCUGCCCACAGACCCUAUGGAAAGCACGCAACGCCAGGAUCUUUGAUGGGUAG
rnacentral:lncRNA from 1 species